AUUGAACGCUGGCGGCAGGCCUAACACAUGCAAGUCGAGCGGAGCGGCGGACGGGUGAGUAAUGCCUAGGAAUCUGCCUGGUAGUGGGGGAUAACGUCCGGAAACGGGCGCUAAUACCGCAUACUAUCAGAUGAGCCUAGGUCGGAUUAGCUAGUUGGUGGGGUAAAGGCCUACCAAGGCGACGAUCCGUAACUGGUCUGAGAGGAUGAUCAGUCACACUGGAACUGAGAAACGGGCAAGACGCCGACAGGAGGCAGCAGUGGGGAAUAGUGGAUAAUAGGCGAAAGCCUGAACCAGCCAUGCCGCGGGUGGGAAGAAGGGAUUCGGAUUGUAAAGCACUUUAAUUGAGGAGGCGUUACCAACAGAAUAAGCACCGGCUAACUUCGUGCCAGCAGACGCGGUAAUUC
rnacentral:rRNA from 1 species